UAAGGAAUAUUGGUCAAUGGACGCAAGUCUGAACCAGCCAUGCCGCGUGGAGGAUGAAGGUCCUCUGGAUUGUAAACUUCUUUUAUCUGGGACGAAACACUUCUUUUCUAAGAGGCCUGACGGUACCAGAUGAAUAAGCACCGGCUAACUCCGUGCCAGCAGCCGCGGUAAUACGGAGGGUGCAAGCGUUAUCCGGAAUCAUUGGGUUUAAAGGGUCCGCGGGCGGUCUUAUAAGUCAGUGGUGAAAGCCUACAGCUCAACUGUAGAACUGCCAUUGAUACUGUAAGACUUGAAUUCGAUCGAAGUGGGCGGAAUAUGUCAUGUAGCGGUGAAAUGCUUAGAUAUGACAUAGAACACCAAUUGCGAAGGCAGCUGGCUACGCAUAUAUUGACACUGAGGCACGAAAGCGUGGGGAUCAAACA
rnacentral:rRNA from 1 species